UUUCCCACUGACUGUCACAAAGGAUAACAGAGAUGUAAUAAAAAGGUCACGCAGGUGCUCCCACAGAAUAUGUUAUCAAGUCCUAGCAGUGAAGGAAUCUGCCUUCUCUCAUCUUCGAGGCUACAUCAAGGCUUCCUGCUGCCAGGCUGGGGCGAGACGUCUGCGCUCAGACGUCCUGGAGGCAGAAUGAAGGCACCCAUGAGUGAUUGAAGCCCAACCUAUGUCUGAUGAACUCAGGAUAUUCUGAGGAAUGUGUGUGCAGUGAACAGCAACAGAACAUGAGGAUGGCAUGCUGAUACAAAUUAUUGUUUUUCUAUUAAAAUAUGCCUUUUUUUACCUUCA